rnacentral:lncRNA from 1 species
GGUUUAGAAGGACUUGCCUCAUUAAAAACCUUGCCUCCAGAUUGGAGCCCCCCUUGCAAGGAAAAGAGUGCAGUCCAUUUGCGAAAAAGUAAAUGCGAUAAAGUAAAUUUGCUACCCUCUACAUUGUUUAUAGCUUCACAAGUCGAAGGUGCCUACGAGACAUUAUGGCUAAGGGUAAUACUUGCGCAAGUUGUCCACAUUCCAUGUGUGUGGUAACUCCGCUCCAAGCUGAUCUGCGAGGUGGAAGGAUCCUGGCCUGUUAGUUCGUGUAACAAUGUAUGGUCCUUCCCAAGUUUCCUACAAUUUUCUGAGGUUCUCCCAAUUUUUUCUCUUCUUGAUGACCAGGUCACCCACUUUGAUCUCCUUGUGGAUCACUGUUUU